CGGGCUCCUGCGCGGCGGCGGUGCGGGAGCUCCGUGCGCCCCGGCCGGGAGAUGUGACCCAUGGGCUUGCGCCAGCCGCGGCGGGGGGUGGGCUGGCUGCCGCUGCUCCUGUCGCUGCUCCUGCUGCCGCCCCCCGCGGCGCACACAGGAGAGUUGUAUUGUUCUUUGCCCAACCCUAGGAAUGUUCGUUUUGAAUCUACAAACAUGAAGAAUGUCCUUCACUGGUUAGCACCAGAAGGUACAGGCGAUGGAGUACUCUACAAUGUGAAAUAUUCAAUAUAUGGUGUUGGCAAAUGGAUUAGGAAGCCAGAAUGCAGGAAUAUCAAUAGAACAUGGUGUGACCUCUCCAGUGAGACUGCUGACCAUGAAGAGCAAUACUACGCGAGUGUUAAAGCCUUCCUAAAUGGGAGGUGCUCCAAGUGGAUAGAGACGACACGAUUCAACCCUCUUACAGACACUGAAAUUGGCCCACCCAUGGUAAAUGUGUCUUCUACCGAGAAAUCUAUUUCAAUCACACUGACUGUUCCUGAGAAGUGGAGAAGUCCUGAUGGAGAAUCUGUAUCUCUGCUUCAAGUAUAUCCUGGCCUGCAAUACAAUGUGUCUGUCCUCAAGAAAAAGACAAAGAAACGAUGGUUCUUCUCCAUCAGCAACAGCACCUUGGUUGUGCCCUGGUUAGAACCUGGAACGGCUUACUGUGUGAGUGCGCAGAUCCAUGUCACUACGCCACUUCUACACAGUGGGUUUUCUAAAGAACGUUGCAUUUCUACUUUGAAAGAUAAAACAGUGGAUGAGACUAUAACAGUCAUAUUUGGAUACAUUCUGCCUAUCGUGCUAGCUGUCCUUUUUACUUCAAUGGCAUGCUGCUGUGUGCACAGGUACAUUCAUGUCAGCAAACAGAAGCAUCCAUCAAGCCUGGUAUGGCACUAUACUGAUAAAUGCAAGGAAAAGGUUUUUAUACCUUGUGAAAAAAUAGUUGUCAACCUAAUCACAGUAAAUGUGGAUGAAUACAAGCCAUCUCAGGAAUCCAUUCAUCCAUCAGAAAUGGAAAGUCCCCGUUAUUAUACUGUUUACAGUGGCACUGAAGGGAAAGAUUUGCCUCCGAAAGAAGUGCCAGAAACAGAACAGUUGCUUGAUAUUGCUCAUGAAGAGAUUUCACAAGAAGAGGACAUUUUAGCUGAGUGGGAUAAAACUGGAACAAAGAACAUCCAUCUUGGAACAAAGAAUACUUUGAGACAAAAAAACAGAGGGAGCAUAGAGUAUGAACUUGGUAUAAGGGCUGAAGACUUCAGUUCUGGCCAAAACCUAGAAGAACUCAGUCUGAAAGAGAAGACUUCUACACCUGGUGGUCUAGGUGAGCCACAGACUGCUUUGGGAAACUUAGUUAACGUUAAAACAGGAAAGGCAUAUUGUUCCCAACUAGUGGUGAAGGCAACAGACCCUUCUUUGGGACAGGAGUUAGAGGAAUUUAAACUGAAGAUGGCUGAUGCAGUGGAUGAAUUGCUAAGUAAGACCCUCAUCAACUUGGUGGACUCGGAUGCUGAAAAAUCUGGGCAGAGGUCCUAUCAUCAGCUGGAAAAAAUAGCACAAGACAUCACAGAGAAAGAGAGUGAACAGACCAUACUGGUGGAUUGGGACCCACACACUGGAAGACUGUAUAUUCCUACUUUGUUUGGUGUUGAAAAUGAGGUGUGUGAAGGAGUAUUUAAGUGUGAUGAUCCUGACAAAGAGGGAAUUUUGUCCAGACUGUAUGAGAAACAGGUAUCUGAAGAAUCAUCUGAGGACCAAGAAGUGUAUCUGCUGCAAUUUCAGGAACAAUGGGGCCUGCAUGUAGAAAUGGAAGACUGAACAGUGAUUUUCUAAAAUACUGUAAAACACAAAACCCUGUUUACUUUGCCGAAGAGAAUGGUGGACUCAGUGGAGCAAACAUAUCUUAAUGUACUGAAGUUUUCAGAACUAUCACAGUUGAGCAACUUAUUCAUAUUUAUGACAAUUUCCAGGCAUGAUAAGGUGAUUUCAACUCCCAUUAUAGACCUCUCAGGCUAGAGGAGAAGGAUGCCAUCCAGAGGGACCUGGACAGGCUUGAGAAGCGGGCCUAUGCCAACCUUGUGAAGUUCAACAAGACCAAGUACAAGGUCCUGCACCAGGGUCAGGACAAUCCCAAGCACAAAUAUAGACUGGACAGAGAAUGGCUCAAGAGUAGCCCUGAAGAGAAGGAUUUGGGGGUGUUGGUUGAUGAAAGACUCAACAUGAGCCAUCACUGUAUGCCUGCAGCCCAUAAGGCCAACUGUAAUCUGGGUUGCAUUGAGAGAAGCAUGACCAGCAGGUUGAGGGAGCUGAUUCUGCCCCUCUACUCUGCUCUUAUGAAACUCCA